CUCAAAGAAGCCCGAAUCCUGCUGGCUGGCCAUGUCUGCGGCAUACAAAGAGGCUGGGAGGACGGGCAGCUGCCGGGAGCAGGUACCGGGCGUGAUGCGCCUGUCACAGGUUGUGAUGUCAGCGCGGGGUCAGGCGCCGAGAGGCAGCUCUGCGGAUUCACCUCCGGCUCCAGCCGGGAGUCCUCAUCUAAAGGACACCGCCGAGCAGAGAGAGAUGCUCGGCCGCUCCUCCUCCUCCGGGUCCAGGACUUGCUUCUUAUUUGCUGGGCGCUGAUUUCCCUGCAGCCCUCGGAGGCGGCGGCCGCGCUGCUUUCAUUUCGGGGCUGUCAUCACCAGAAACGCAGGCUGCCGGCCGCCCACCAGCUCGGCUCCAGUCAGUCAGGUUAGGAAAAGAGAAGAGAAAGGAGGAGAAGAGAGAGAACCUGCCGAUCAUAGAGAGACGCCCGCCCCCAUCCACCUCUGCUGGCUAUGAAGGUAGGACCAUGUUUAUAGUUACCUACUAGCAAAGGUUGAAGGACUGGGAAUUAGGAAACUCGUGAUUCUGCUUUUUAUUUUGACCCUGAUCCUAUGACCUUGGAUGUGUUAUUUAUCUACUAAAAGAAGAACACUAUUUCCCAGCCCCAGACUGCCUCGUCUCUUAGGACAAGCCAAUCCUUGGUUUUCUAUACCACUGGGAGGAACCACUGCAUAGGAAAAGCAGAACACCGGGUAAUAAAUUAUUCUGUAUAACUCUUUGGCAAACAUUAUUUAAUUUUUUGGCAAUAGAUUCACCUUCUUGGUUAUGUUCUAAUAAAGCUCAUGUCAAGAGUAUCCAUGAAAACACACACUGGCUGGCUAGCAGGAGAAGCUGACAUAGGACCAAAAAAUAAUUGGGGAUUAGAAAGCAAUAAAUCAAUAUAAAAACUAUCAAGCUGUCUACUGUGAAGUUAAUGAAGUAAUUCAAAGUGCUUUGUUCAGCUUAGAGGAAAACCAAUAGAAACUAUAUAACUAGACAAUUCUUGUAAAUCAGGAAUAAA